UACGGAGGGGGCUAGCGUUGUUCGGAAUUACUGGGCGUAAAGCGCGCGUAGGCGGACCUGCAAGUCGGGGGUGAAAGCCCGAGGCUCAACCUCGGAACUGCCUUCGAUACUGCGGGUCUCGAGUCCGGGAGAGGUGAGUGGAAUUCCUAGUGUAGAGGUGAAAUUCGUAGAUAUUAGGAAGAACACCAGUGGCGAAGGCGGCUCACUGGCCCGGUACUGGCGCUGAGGUGCGAAAGCGUGGGGAGCAAACAGG
rnacentral:rRNA from 1 species